CGGGGCGUAGCGCAGCUGGCAGCGCGCUUGGUUCGGGACCAAGAGGUCGGCAGUUCAAGUCUGCCCGCCCCGACCA
rnacentral:tRNA from 1 species